UCGAGAAUCUUCGGCAAUGGGCGCAAGCCUGACCGAGCGACGCCGCGUGCGGGAUGAAGGCCCUCGGGUUGUAAACCGCUGUUGGUUGGGAGGAAAUGCAUGGGGGUUCUCCCCUGUGUUUGACCGAUCUUCAGAGGAAGUCCGGGCUAAGUUCGUGCCAGCAGCCGCGGUAACACGAACCGGACGAACGUUAUUCGGAAUCACUGGGCUUAAAGAGUGCGUAGGCGGCCUGGCAGGUUGGGUGUGAAAUCCCUCGGCUCAACCGAGGAACUGCGCUCAAAACCGCCAGGCUUGAGGGAGAUAGAGGUGAGCGGAACUGAUGGUGGAGCGGUGAAAUGCGUUGAUAUCAUCAGGAACACCUGUGGCGAAAGCGGCUCACUGGGUCUCUUCUGACGCUGAGGCACGAAAGCUAGGGUAGCGAACAGGAUUAGAUACCCCCGUAGUCC
rnacentral:rRNA from 1 species